rnacentral:lncRNA from 1 species
AUAGCCACCUAGUUUUAGGAGUACCGCGGCAAGAACUAUUGACCCUGCAAUGGGGGCUUCAACAUGGGCUUUGGGGAGCCACAAGUGUAAGCCAUACAGGGGUAUUUUUGUCAUAAAAGCUAUUAUGCAUGCUAGUCAGGCAAAGUUAUGAGAUCAAGUGGUUGUUAGUUUUUGGUCUGUGAGUGUUAGUAAUGUAAUAUUUAAUGAGCCUGUGUUGUUGUAGGUGUGGCUUAGUAUGAUGAGUAGGGGUAGAGAGCCGGUUAGUGUGUAGAAUAGAAAAUAUGUACUUGCGUUAAGACGUUCUGCUUGGCUGCCUCAUUUGGUAAUAAUAAGUAGGGUAGGAAUAAGAGUAGUUUCAAAUAGGAUGUAGAAUAUAAUUAGGUCUGUGGCUAUGAAUGUUAGAAUUAGGGUGAUUUGUAGGAGAACUAUUAUGAAGAGGAAGAAUUUCUUUUGUGAGGGGGGUUCAUUGCAUAGGUGGUAUUGGCUCGCUAUAAUUAUGAGAGGCAGGAGUCAGAUGGUUAGUGUUAGGAGGGGUGUUGUUAGUGGGUCAGAGGAUAUGUAGGUUGAGUGAUUGAGGAGGUUGGUGUUGGUUUGGUUGAAGAAUAGUAAGGGAAUGAGGCUAAUAGCUAGGCUGUGUAUAGUCAAGUUGAUUCAGAUUGUAUUGUUUUUGGAGAGUCAUGUUAUAGGUAGUAGCAUGGUUGUAGGGAUAAUUAUUUUUAGCAUUGAAGCAGGUUUAGGUUGUGAAUAUAAUCUAGUCCGUAUGUAUUGGAGAUUGAGAUUAGUAAGGCAAGACCUACUGCUGCCUCGCAAGCGGCAAAUACUAGCAGAAUGAUGGGUAUAAUAUUGAUUAGGGGGAAGUGUGUGUUCGAGGCAAUAAGGGUAGUUAUAAUAAAGAGCGAUAUCAUCAUUCCUUCUAGGCAGAGGAGAGAAGCUAUUAGGUGUGAGCGGUAGGUUAAUAUGCCCAGAAGGGAGAUGGUAAAUGCUAGUAUAAUAUUUAUAUAGGU